AACGAACGCUGGCGGCAGGCCUAACACAUGCAAGUCGAGCGCCCCGCAAGGGGAGCGGCGGACGGGUGAGUAACGCGUGGGAAUAUGCCCUUUGCUACGGAGUAGUCUCGGGAAACUGGGGGUAAUACCGUAUACGCCCUUUGGGGGAAAGAUUUAUCGGCGAAGGAUUAGCCCGCGUUGGAUUAGGUAGUUGGUGGGGUAAUGGCCUACCAAGCCGACGAUCCAUAGCUGGUUUGAGAGGAUGAUCAGCCACACUGGGACUGAGACACGGCCCAGACUCCUACGGGAGGCAGCAGUGGGGAAUCUUAGACAAUGGGGGCAACCCUGAUCUAGCCAUGCCGCGUGAGUGAUGAAGGCCUUAGGGUUGUAAAGCUCUUUCAGCUGGGAAGAUAAUGACGGUACCAGCAGAAGAAGCCCCGGCUAACUCCGUG
rnacentral:rRNA from 1 species